rnacentral:tRNA from 1 species
GGAGGGUCCAGCUCAGUGGUAGAGCACCUGCUUAGCAUGCAUGAGGUCCUGGGUUCAAUCCCCAGUCCCUCCA